rnacentral:lncRNA from 1 species
CCCUGCAGAGAGAUGAUGAAGAAUGGUCUGUGCAAAAGCACACAAAGACAAGUCCAACUGAUGCAUUUGGGAUGAUCAAUUUCCAAGAUGGAGAUCGUACUUAACCACACCAAGGGAGCUGAGCCCUCAAGUGAAGGAGGAGGUUUUAGUAAUGAUUCAAAACACCUUUAAUUUGGGACAGAAACAGUCCAGCCACCUAUGUCAAACUUUGAUGGAGUGCAUGGAACACACGGAAUCUAUAACCAUAUUUGAUGCAGAGUCUGAGGAAUAGCAGGACAUUGAUUUGGCAAUUAUGACUGCACUCCUGAAAGGUACUUAUCUGAGAAUAUGACCUGUUUUCAUCUGACAUAUAGCUCCCUUGGCUUACCCAUUCAAAGCAAAGGAAUAACAU